CUUAUGGUGUUUGUUGGUUUUGGAAGUCAUUUUGACAUGGUGGUGCAGCUCCUCAUUGUCUGCCUCUGGGAAUAUAGUUCUUUGAAAUCUAGUUGGAAUUAUUUCUUAUGGAGAAACAUCUAUUUUGGAUUAUCAUUUGAUUCUCUCCUGAUAUUAGUAUUUUUGAAUGACUUUUGGAUCAUGAUUCCAAAUGAACUCCUGGGAUUGGUUACCCACCAUUUCAGAACUCUGCUACAACUGUAAGGUUUGUCCCUUUAGUUAUGGUAAAGUACUCCAACAAGGGUUUGCAGAAAAAAAUACAGUCAUGAAAAUAAGCUAGACAGAGCCAGAUACCAUAUCGAUUGAAAAGGGUCAACUGAAACUGGAAGGAACUAAGGAAAGUUGAAUCUAAAUUGCAGCACUGUGAGAGAAGGAAUCAUGUUUGGAAGAAUCCUACAAGUUGUUGGAAGGAAUCAUUACCAUGGGAAUACUCAGGCAGAAUCUCAGAAAAUAGCCAUGAAGAAACUAGGAGAAAGUGAGUGAACAGAAGAUUAAAGGAGCAUCAGACAGUGAGCAGCACGUUGGUAGAAAUUCAGAUACCAUCUUCCCCUCAACAAAAUUAUACUUGGGACUCUGGAAGAAUGUAUUGUGAUGAAUAUUGUAAGAAAAAUACCCUAACUGCCAGAAUCAUAUAAAUCAGACCUUGUUGCUAUAGAUGUAAUAUGGUUUAUAGGAGACAUGAACUAGGAAGAAAUUAGAUGCCCAAGUUCCAAAACCCUGAAAGGAGGGCUGAAUGGACUCCCUGGACCAUCUACCUUUGGAACUUACCAUACUGUGCACACUGAAUCAAUAUUCUAAAAUUCAUCUUUGGCAAGAAUUGCAUGCCCUGAAUACAAGCCAUUCCCCAGUUGAUCAAUAGUCAAAGGAUAUGAACAGGCUGUUUUCAGAUGAAGAAAUCAAAGAUAUCUAUAGGCAUAGAAAGAAGUGCUCUAAAUCUUUUGAUUUGAGAUAUGCAAAGUAAAGUAACUCUGAAAUACCACCUCAGACCAAACAGAGUGUCUAAUAUGACAAAAAAGGUGAAUGAUAAAUGAUAAAGAAACAACAGAUAAAUCCUAAAUAAUGAGGAGCAGGAAGGUGACCCAGAUGGUCCCAG